UCAAAGAUUAAGCCAUGCAAGUGAAAGUAUAUACAUUUUCGUAAUGUAGAAACUGCGAACGGCUCAUUACAACAGUUAUAAUCUACUUGACAUUACAAUCUUAUAAGGAUACCUACGGAAAAGCUGUAGCUAAUACUUGCUCGAUAUACUAAAUAUAUUUAUUUAUAUUUGGUAUGGUAUUUGUUAGCUUUUUCAAGAAAAAGACAAGUGGGGAGUCCUAACAAAGAAGCGACACGUAUAAAUUUUUUAUAAAUUUAUGAAGUGCGUAUCAAUCGAGUUUCUGACCUAUCAGCUUUUGAUGUUAGGGUAUUGGCCUAACAUGGCUAUGACGGGUAACGGGGAAUUGGAGUUCGAUUCCGGAGAGGGAGCCUGAGAAAUAGCUACCACAUCUAAGGAAGGCAGCAGGCGCGUAAAUUACCCAAUUCUGACAAAGAGAGGUAGUGACAAGAAAUAACGAUGUAAGGUCUAUUUUUAGAUUUUACAAUUGGAAUGGUGGGAAUCUAAACCCUUCCCAGAGUAGCAAUUGGAGGGCAAGUCUGGUGCCAGCAGCCGCGGUAAUUCCAGCUCCAAUAGCGUAUAUUAAAAUUGUUGCAGUUAAAACGCUCGUAGUUGAUCUUCAAAAGAAUUUAUUAGAGAACUCUACACCACUUUAAUGUGUUGUAUGUAGAGAUCUCCUCGAAAUUCUUUUUUUAUUCUAAAUAUAUAUUCGUAUGUAUUUAGAAUAGUUACUUUGAGUAAAUUAGAGUGUUCAAAGCAAGUGAAUUGCAAAGGGGAAACCCGCUUGAAUACUACAGCAUGGAAUAACAUCAUUGAAAAAGUCGAAUGGUGUUUCUUUUUAGAAAUUUCGAUUUUUAAAAUCUUUUUCUUGAUUUGGCUUAGUUACGAUUAAUAGGAGUAGUUUGGGGACAUUCGUAUUCAGAUGUCAGAGGUGAAAUUCUUAGAUUUUCUGGAGACGAACAACUGCGAAAGCAUUUGUCUAAAAUACUUCCAUUAAUCAAGAACGAAAGUUAAGGGAGUGAAGACGAUCAGAUACCGUCGUAAUCUUAACCAUAAACUAUGCCAACUAGGUGUUGGAUGAAAGUGUAAAAAAUAAAAGAUGAUCUAAUGUAACAUUUAGAUUGUCUUUUAGCUUACUUCCUUCAGUACCUUAUGAGAAAUCAAAGUCUUUGGGUUCUGGGGCGAGUAUUCGCGCAAGCGAGAAAGUUAAAAGAAUUGACGGAAGGGCACCACCAGGCGUGGAGCUUGCGGCUUAAUUUGACUCAACACGGGAAAACUCACUAGUUUAAGACAAGAGUAGGAUUGACAGAUUAAUAGCUCUUUCUUGAUCUCUUGGAUGGUGAUGCAUGGCCGUUUUUAGUUCGUGAAUAUGAUUUGUCUGGUUAAUUCCGAUAACGAACGAGAUCUUAACCUGCUAAUUAGCGGUAAAUACAACAUAUUCUUAAGUAAAUAAGAAUAUAGAUAAAAAUAACAAAUAAGAGAAAAUAUUAGGAUGUUAUUAUAUAUAAUAUCCUUUUCCCUUUUCUUCUUAUUUUGUUUUUUUAUUCUAUUUCUUUUUUUACUUAAGAAUGUAUUUACUUGAUUGUAAAGCUUCUUAGAGGGACAUUGUGUGUCUAACACAAGGAAGUUUAAGGCAACAACAGG
rnacentral:rRNA from 1 species